rnacentral:rRNA from 1 species
CAAUAGCGUAUAUUAAAGUUGUUGCAGUUAAAAAGCUCGUAGUUGGAUUUCUGCCAGGGUGCCAAUGUCCGCCGAAGUGCGUGCGCAGCGGCGCCCUCGCAUCCUUCUGUUAACGCCUCUCGGCAUUUACUUGCCGGUGGUGGGCUCAGAUAAUUUACCUUGAGAAAAUUAGAGUGUUUCAGGCAGGCUAGGCCGGAAUACAUUAGCAUGGAAUAAUGGAAUAGGACUACGGUCUCGUUGUUGGUUUGAGGGACUGGAGUAAUGAUUGAUAGGGAUAGUUGGGGGCAUUAGUAUUUAAUUGUCAGAGGUGAAAUUCUCAGAUUUGUUAAAGACUAACUUAUGCGAAAGCAUUUGCCAAGGAUGUUUUCAUUAA